GAGAAAGUCAUACCCAGAGAGUUACAUCAGGCAGUAUCUGUUUAUCUGAAACACAGGCCACUGGAGCUAUACAGUGGUAUAAACACUGAACCGAUAAUCUUGAUAAUACAUUGAAAAAAAUGAUACAAUUCAGGAGACUAGGUGUGGGCUAUUGUGAGAGUGAGGCACUCCUGGGGGCUGCUUCUGAGAAGAGACCCACUCUUUCAUCGGCAUUCUUUUAAGAAUUCCAUCAGAUUUUUUUUCCCCUAUCUGUACUGAGGUAUAAUUGACAAAUAAAAUUGUAUAACUUUAAAGUGUACAGUGUGAUGAUUUGAUAUGUCUGUGAUAUAAAAUAAUUAUUUCAUGUUUUCAACUUUUGCUUUUAUUAUUUAGAUUUAAAUAUGGAAUUCAUUUGAAAUAUAUCCUAAUAGACUAUGUAGAAAUGAAUAAAUAUUACUUUAAAAUUUUGAUUUCCAGGAACUUAACUUAUGAUCCCACUGCCAUUUAUUGAUUAAUCUAUGUUUCUUCACCCAUGAGAUAAGAGUCAGCAGCAUAUCAAGUACAAGAAGUUCUCAUGUCUUUAUUUCCUGCAAUCUAUUCCUGUUUGGGGUCUAGAAACCACCAACUGACUUCAUGAGUGCACUUUUACAGUAAUAGAAAAACAAGAACCCUUUAGAUUGGAAUGGUUCCAGGUUCAACAGAGGUUUCCCACAUUGGAACUAAGACAUUGUUUACAAGAUAUUUUCACCUCUGUUGUCAACAGUUAAGAGGUAACUCCAGCUUCCAUCUGUUGCUAUGUACAGAACAUUACCAGUUUCACACUACUGAAUGCCUCAAAUCACAAUUAAUGAAGUUAUGCUCUUGAGACUCACGGUUUUUUCCAGGUGCCACUUGUUGUCUUGUAGUCUAAUCUUCACAUGUAUUUUCUAUUCUGUUUCAUUCACCUACACCUGCUUCUUAUCCACAUUCCACUCUGUUCUCUGAAAUUUAUGGUUCAUAUUUAACAAAAUCCCCUGUAUCCCUAGAUUUCUCUUUGUUCAUAACAUAAUGGUAUCCAGACUGUCUCCGGAGAAUACUGAUUUUCCUACAUGCUCUACUAAAAUACUAAAUAUCUAAACAUUUAGAUUAGUAUUUUCUUCCAGAACUCUCAUACUGGUCCUGGAAGUGGUAUUAAUCUCUUCCUUUUUUUUGGCCAUAUUCAAACUGUUUCUCCCCUUAUUCCCAAUGUUAAUCAACUUUGAGUAUCAUGUCAUCAAAACAUAAGCUAACUUCCCUUAUAUUGUUAAGUACUUUACUCCAGAGAUAUUUCCUCUCAUUUCUCAAUGAUUUUAUUUUCUGCUUCAUUAUUGUUCUAC
rnacentral:lncRNA from 10 species